rnacentral:lncRNA from 1 species
AUAUAUAUAUAAAUUAUAUAUACAAUAUGCAUAUGUAUGCAUAACCAUACGUUGAUAUGUGGUAAUUAAAAUAUAAUAUGUUGACAUAUUGCCAUUUUUGGAAGGGAAGAACAGUAUGGAAGAAGAAAAUAAGAGAGAGGAGGAGGAGGAGAGUAGAAAGAAGGAAAUAUUAAAGUAAAUGAAUUUUCUGUUGCUAUGCCAGGUCUAGCAAGGAGAAAGAGAGGAAGAGAAAGAUAAAAGGAAACAAAAGAAGAUGAUAGAGAGAGAGAGAAAAGAGACAACUUGAUGGCUGCUGUUUUAAUAAUUUGAGAGAGACGAGGGCUUUUGUUUUGUUGUUUAGAAGCAUUUAAAAACAAAAAAAAGUAAAUAUUUCAUUGUGACGCCGCCUUUGGCUUCUCGGGUGUUAGCGAGUGCCUCGCCCCAACAAGCAAGGUGAGGGGGUGGCACGUUGCCUCACUCGCCUCUCCUCUUGCCUUUUGCCGUGUUAUGGUCUUAGGUUAAGAAUCUGGUUAUGGGUCUUUUGGGUAAGGAGUGUGGAUGGUGUUUGAGUAGGUAGGUUGGGGUUUUUCUUUUUGCGACCUAUGAUAGCUGUUAGUUUAGACUCUAGAGAGGGAACCUGGAAGUGUUCAAAGACUUUAAUUGAUUUUGAAAGCUGCUUCUCUCAUUGAUGUUAUUGUUUAAAUAUAGGAGUGAGGCAUAACUACCUCCUACAUUAAGGAAGCAUUACUUCUAAUUGGAGGAGCACCCUCCUACAACUAGGAACAACUAAAAGAAAGUGGAGGAACUCCCUCCUACAAAACUGGAAUCACAACUCAAAAAAAAAAAACUGAAUGCAUAAAAUAAUAAAAAUAGUUGAAUAAGUCAAACUCCACAUGGAAUAGUCUAGGAGUUCAAUCCGUGGCUGUUUGGUCUUGAGUCCAUGUGUGUAAUGUGUGUAGACUUGCAGAUGUUUGGUAACAUGCCACCUUUAAUAACACUGUUCUGCAAUGUAGGAUGCACAGCCCUGAUCCUCAACACUGUUGCCGUUAUAAUGAUUAGAGAAGUAUGUUUGUGCAUUUCGCUUUCAUGGUUGUGUAUUAGGAGAGGGCAGAUUUCUAUUUUUAAUAUUGUUGAUAGCAACAAAAAUACCUUUCCCCAAUCUAUGCUUCACUUACGUUGUUAAACGAAAUCUUUGGAGUUUUCUGAUAACAUGCCCUGAUAACAACAAUAUUGUUGAUAACAAUAUUUUUAAUAUUGUUGAUAGCAACAAAAAUACCAUUCCCCAAUCUAUGCUUCACUUACGUUGUUAAACGAAAUCUUUGGAGUUUUCUGAUAACAUGCCCUGACAGGGAUCUUGGCUUCUCCUGUUGGGCGGUUGAUGCUAGCAGAUGCAAGAGGUUGCUGGAGAACGUGGAGGCUACC